GCCCCCUAUAUAAGAAACACAAGGCUGCAUAAGAAGGGGACGGAGAGAAAUAGAGAGAAGGGUGAGUUAUAUUGGUGCAUCAGAGUGAGGCUGCAUUCAAGAGAAAGAAAUAGUGCACAGUGCUUAGUUACCUGGAGACUACAACCCGACGACAGGAGAGCAUCAAGUUCAGAAAGUCCUUCCUCUGUUUAUUUCCACAGGGGUUUUAUAACCCUUCCAAAACAGCACCGAUAACAAAUCCUCCGUGCUAAGAAGCCUUGAAAUCCCCAAAGCCAAAUACACCAACCAAAAAGCCACAAAACCCCAAAACUCUACUGCUGCCCACCAGAAAUCAGAAAGACAUAAAACAACAACCAGAAAACAUUUUCGAAAUACCUUCUAUGUUGACGACAAGUGCAGGUUCAGAGAAUGAAAGAAGCACGUGCAAAGAGAAGGGAUUUCGACAACUUUCUGAUGGCAAAAGAAGAGAAACAGAGGGGUUCACUACACUUGUUUUUGAUGCCUGUAUCGCGGUGCGUCCUGCAUAUGGGUGGCAAAGAUGAGUGUCAAGUGAAUGCCCGGGGGGCUGCCAGUUCACACCAAGUACGGCUCUACGAAGUUCCCGAGUUUCGCUACACUUGUCUUUGAUGCCUGUAUUGCGGUGCGUCCUGCAUAUGGGUGGCAAAGAUGAGUGUCAAGUGAAAGCCUCGGGCUGUUGGUUCACGCCAAGGACAAAUCUGCAAAGUUUUUGGGCUCACAAAGUGAAGAAACUGCUCUGGAGGAAUCUUUAUGCAGCACCAAAGGAAUAAAUUACUCCACCUGCAGCAAAGUCAUCAUCAGAGUGGUAUCACAGAAGGAAAAAUUGCUAUCUGUUACGGAAAGGCAUUCUGUGGCCAAGCUGCAACAUUUGAUGGAGUUGAAACUCACCUCUGUAAAGCAAUGGUUCGAACACCGCCUGCAAUGCUUUGCUUCAAAAUUAUGUCUGCAAAAUGGAAAAACAAUCUCAUAAUCAGCAAGGAAGAAGAAUGAAGUCCUCGGUUUUGAUUUCAUGGUCACGGCUACACAAAGAAAAAUGGAAGCUUAAUUCCACUCAUUUGCAGCAGAGCAAAAGCUUCAGAAUAUGCAUAAUCGAGGCAGCUAUGCUGCAAGUCCUUUUUCAGAACAAGCCAAAAAUAAAAGAUCAGGAAGCAAGCAACUGCAUCUAAUUAAAGAAGCAGAGGUCACUUCUCAAGAAGCUACGAAGCUUUGCGGUGGAGAAAUGUCAAAAACCUGCAGAUAAUUACUUCACACAUGUCUGUCAAAGUCAUAGCUUUCAAAAAUAUGCAAUUAAACACAUUUGCUGCAAGUCAGAGCAACAUAAGUAAUGGUUUGUUAGAUGUGCUGCAAGCUUGAAACAAAGAAGACAAAAUAGUGGCCAUAUUCUUUUCUUU